rnacentral:rRNA from 1 species
GAUGAACGCUGGCGGCGUGCCUAAUACAUGCAAGUCGAGCGAACAGACGAGGAGCUUGCUCCUCUGACGUUAGCGGCGGACGGGUGAGUAACACGUGGAUAACCUACCUAUCAGACUGGGAUAACUUCGGGAAACCGGAGCUAAUACCGGAUAAUAUAUUGAACCGCAUGGUUCAAUAGUGAAAGACGGUUUUGCUGUCACUUAUAGAUGGAUCCGCGCCGCAUUAGCUAGUUGGUAAGGUAACGGCUUACCAAGGCAACGAUGCGUAGCCGACCUGAGAGGGUGAUCGGCCACACUGGAACUGAGACACGGUCCAGACUCCUACGGGAGGCAGCAGUAGGGAAUCUUCCGCAAUGGGCGAAAGCCUGACGGAGCAACGCCGCGUGAGUGAUGAAGGUCUUCGGAUCGUAAAACUCUGUUAUUAGGGAAGAACAAAUGUGUAAGUAACUAUGCACGUCUUGACGGUACCUAAUCAGAAAGCCACGGCUAACUACGUG